rnacentral:rRNA from 1 species
AAGGAAUAUUGGACAAUGGAGGGAACUCUGAUCCAGCCAUGCCGCGUGAAGGAAGAAGGCGCUCAGCGUUGUAAACUUCUUUUGAAUGGGAACAAAACGUCCGACUUGUCGGGCACUGAGGGUACCAUUAGAAUAAGCGCCGGCUAACUCCGUGCCAGCAGCCGCGGUAAUACGGAGGGUGCAAGCGUUAUCCGGAAUCACUGGGUUUAAAGGGUGCGUAGGCGGUGAGAUAAGUCAGUCGUGAAAUACUUCCGCUUAACGGAUAGAACUGCGAUUGAUACUGUUUUACUUGAAUCAGGUUGAGGUAGGCGGAAUGUGGCAUGUAGCGGUGAAAUGCAUAGAUAUGCCAUAGAACACCGAUUGCGAAGGCAGCUUGCUGGGCCUGAAUUGACGCUGAGGCACGAAAGCGUGGGGAGCAAAC